rnacentral:rRNA from 1 species
AUGUUGAGACUUUUAGGACAACAGCAUCAGCAGGAUCGUCCCUGGUUAUGUUUGGGGGACUUCAACGAGAUCUUGUCUCUGGACGAAAAGGUGGGAGGGGUUGUUCGGCCGCACCGUCUCAUGGACAAUUUCAGGCAAGCCCUAGAGUCAUGCGAGCUCUCUGAUCUCGGUUAUGAGGGUGAUAAGUUCACGUGGAGAAACCAUAGUCGGGAGAGGCUUGAUAGAGCAGCAGCUAAUACUCCUUGGUGCCAGUGGUUCCCGGAGUUCACGGUCCUCAAUGGCGCCCCUCGUCACUCGGACCAUAGGCCGGUCAUAGUUUGCACCCAAGGAGAGAACAGGAGAGGGCCCGGGGGCGAUCGAGGCUUUCGGUUUGAGGCGUGGUGGCUGAAGGAGGAGGGGUGUAGUGAACAAGUCCAGGCGGCUUGA